rnacentral:lncRNA from 1 species
UUUACGAGUUAGGAAGUUUCUGUAAUACGGCCCAAGCCUCCCUUGUCCGUGCUGGGACAUCAGGAGGCUUGCCAUGCUGGUGCAUUGCGGCCUUACCAAGUCCUUGGGGACCUCUCUCCAGGUAGGAUUGGUUGCCGAUGAAUGUAUGGUGGAGGAGCACUGGCUGAGGGCGUCUUCUCUCUUGUCUCUGUUGAAGGGCCCUAAUGUGCUCGUCUCCAUCCUGUGGGAGGUUGUCGAGGCCCUGCUGGCCCGGUACCAUUCAGACCGCCCUGAGGAAUCCUCCAUCCCCACCCAAGUUCCCAGGGUGAUGCAGGAGAGGCAGGAGAUGGAGGAAAAGCUGCUCAGCCAGAGGCUUCCUGAGCAGCUCAGGGAGCAACUCCACGGGACGUUUGGCACGUGGGUCCAACACGGCAAACUCUUUGGCAGGGCUCUCCCAAUGAUGAGCACCGCAGAGCAGGACCUCAGAGGAGGGGACGCAGCCGUCCUCAGCAACACUCUGGCUGACGACCCUGUCGCUCUGGACCCCAGUCUGGACGCCCCUCAGAAGGAGCAGCCCGACAGCCCCAGUCGUUGUGAUCCGUCUGUGAUGGAGAACAGUAGCUGUGGACCUGUCGCUGGAGAUCCCCUUCCUCCAGCAGCUCAGCCGGAGAACGGAGAGUCUAACUCCGUCUCCACAACCGACCCGGUUGUGAUCCAGCGGUCCACCGUUGGAUUCGUGGCCCAGCUGUUCAGAGGCCGGGACGAAAUGUCCUCCCCGUCCUACAUCGACCGGUACCGGGCCUUCCAGAACCUGGUUGUCCGGGAAGUCCACCUCCUGCUGCAGGAGGAGGCCACCAUGAACCAGGACAACCCUGGGUUUGAGCGGACCCUGGAGCACCUGAAGGACCCUGUGCAGGAGGUCUGCUUUAGGUUUAGUUAUAAAACCAAACAACAAAUUCAAUUUGUUUAAAAAGGAAAGAAACUGUAAAGUACAACGGUUCGCUCUCUAUCACAUCCAUGCAUUGUUAACCUGCAUGGAUUUCCUAAUUUAAUAAAUGCCUGCAAUGUGAAGUUGGCAAUUUGCUUAGAAAAGUAAUAAAAUUCAUAAAACAUGACUUAAUGAUAAUAAUAAUACAUUUAAUUUAAAGGGUGCCUUUCAAGACACCCAAGGUCACCUUACAGAGCAUAAAGUUAUCAUAAAUCGUUUACAAACAAGACAUUGUAGAAAAAUAAUAAUAAUAAAUUAAUUAAUUAAUUAAUAAAUAAAACAAAAACAAGACAAACCAAACAAUCAAGACAGUGAUCAGUUAGACGUUGUAUGCGAGUUUGAACAGGUGAGUUUUGAGUUGUGACUUGAAGGUUGUAAUGGUGUCUGACUGUUUUAUGUGUGGGGGGAGGGAGUUCCAGAGCCUGGGUGCUGAACAGCUGAACAGUUUGUUACCGGUCCCAAGUGGCCAGGACGGUGGUAACAAAAAGAUUGUUGAGACCGGACUCCCUGAAAAGCAGGUAUACAUGUAUUACAAGGACUGAAGCAGCACUGCUUUUGUUUGGUCUUCGAAAUCCGUCAUACUCAUGAUCAUUCAAGAUGUAAUUUGUGAUGAUCAAAUGAUGUACAGUAUAUUGUGGUCCUGUUUUAUGUAGAAAGGAGGACUUGGUCAAAUGCAUAGAAUACUUGUAUAGAAAUGUGAUUUUAUAAUUUGGAUAGAAGGAUUAAAGUUCAGGUCAUUCAACAGGAGAAACUGGGUCUGCAGCUUCGCUGGGUCCUUGAGGAUAGGCUGAGAGAGGCCUUGCCCGGCGUGUGCCUGUCCAGGGACGGGCUCAUGAAGGACCCCCCGAACACCCUGCUGGCCUGCUCCCUGAUCGCCACAGAGGUCCUUGAUCACCUGAAGACCUCUGUGAGCUCUCCUGACUACAACAAUGAGGCAGAGGAGUGUCUUCACGGGGAACAGUUGUUGGCCCCCGCUAAGAUCAGUCAUCUCAGAUCCUGGUGUAACAGUCCUUCACAAAGGCCCUUACGUGGUGGGCUACACACAAAGAAAUGUUUAAGAUA